AUAACAAAAAAAACAUAUUUUUAAAAUUUUUUAUCAUUUAAAAAGAAUUUAAACCAAGACAAAUUCCUAGAAAGUGAUACUUUACACACGGCUUAGAUUUGAGAAUUUUAUAACGUGUUAUGAAAAUAUAGUUCAAAUUUUUCAUAUUUUAACUAAAGUUAAAAGUUGAGUAUAUUUAAAAGAUUGGGAGUAAAUUUUAGAGCAAUUCAUUAAAGCCUGAAACUUUCAUUAGGUCCCAAUGUCAACAAAAAAUAUGAGUAGUUUCAAGGGAAAUCCACCUGAGGCUUGGAUCUUAGCACUAAUAAGAAAGAAGAUAGAUAGUGAGAAAGGUUAACCAAAGGUUGGAUCCAGAGUCAAGUCACCAGCUUUAUUAUCUGUAUCUCAGUUUUUAGGUAUCUCGGAUUUAUUUCUCCAAUAAAUCUCCCAUUUCUUGCCUGUUUUAAGCAUUGAACAAUUAUCCCAAAGGACAACUGCUGAAGAGUGAGUUAAUAAUCUGUUUAAACGUAGACAAGUUAGACUUCUAAGCCCUGGAAAAGGAUGUUCUGAGUUAUCAAUAUUGAUUUAGUCCUAUAUGCACUUAAGCAGCUCAACGUUAUGCUCUAAACACUUCAGAGUGAUGAGACCUAAUGAUCUUCAGUGUUACCCAUCAGCCAGCGUGUUGUCUGUGUAUAAAUUCUUUUCUUAGUACCUAAUGUAGGUUUAUAAACCUGUUUUCUUGGUCUAAGGCCAGGUAAACUAAAUUGAAACAUCCUUUUAUGGACAUUGCCCAAAUUUCUUGUAAACUGAAAUCUUGAAUGCUGGAGGCUAGAGAUAGCAUCUGAAGUACAGUGUUCAGUUCUGAGCCCCCCAGAACAAGAAAGAUGAGUACAUACCAGAAGGAGUCCAAUGAGGGCCACCAAGAUGAUGAAGGGCCUGGAGAACCAAUUCUGUGAGGAGAGGCUGGGAGAGCCUGGCCUGCUUAGUCUCAUUAGCGCCUUUUUUUUUUUUUUUGAACAGUAAGGGUGGUGAGGCACUGGCAUAGGUUGCCCAGAGAGGUGGUGGAUGCCCCAUCCCUGGAGGCACUCAAGGCCAGGCUGGACAGGGCUCUGAGCAACCUGACUGGGCUGUAGGUGUUCCUGUUCACUGCAGGGGAGUUCAACCAAGUGACCCUUAAGAGACCUUUCCAACUCUAACGAUUCUAUGAAAUAAUGAGAUUUCUCAAGAUUUUGUACAAGUACUUUACUUUCACACAGUAAAAAAGCUUUUUUUUAAUCCUCACUGUAUGUGUACAUAUAUACACCUGUCAAGCUAAAUGCUUUAAAUUUCAGCUCUUUCUGAGUCAUGUAUCUAUAAAAUGUUUUGCCUUUUAAAACAUUAUCUUAAAAUUCUAAAUUAGUCAGCUUUUCCAAAACUUUAAAUUCAGCUUUAAGUACAGCCUCAAAUUUCCAUUUCUAGCAUGAGAAAAGUAUUUUUACCGAUUGUCAAGCUAUUGCUGAAAAAGUUAUAAUGGAAACCUUGUCAUCUCUCUGCAUAAUUAUGAGCAGACAUUUUAUUGAAUAUAUAUGCGUGUAUAUAUAUAUACAUAUAUACGCAAGCAAUCAGAUGUAUAGCUUGAAUGUUGCAUUGUUUUUAUGCUACACUGUCAGUUAUUAACCACUAGAAGUAGUACAAUUUAAUAAAUUGAGACUGUAGAACCUGCUUUUUCUUUUAUAUAUAUGUAUAUGUCCACAUGUGAAAUAUCACCUAGCUCCACAACAUUAUGCUAUUGCUUGAACAUAGCAUCUGCUUCUCUUGCAAAUCAUAACUGAAAGUUCUGUGCAAGUGUUUAUGCUUUACAUACAUGGUACUUGCUCCCUCCUUUUUACUGAAAGCAUGAUUCCAUAAGUAGUUCAGUCCUGUCAUGGAGUGGAAGGACUUAGCAAUCUGCAUCUGGUGUGUUGGCAAGGCUUUCCCAGAUGAUUUACAACACUGGUAACAAACAGCUAUUUCAUAUUUUCAUUCCCUGGCUUAACAGCAUUCUUAUUUGGAACGUGAAGUUUCUUAACAAAAAUACUUUUCCUUUGAUUAAACAGAAAAGAACUUAUUCCAAAGAGUGAGAGCUCAGAAAGUAUCUCUACGAGUUGACAACUUCCAGACUCUUCUCUGUAGUAGCUGUCAUCUACUUUGGUGCAUAGCUCUAGCCGCAAGACAAAAUUAGACACAGGUGCAGACUAUAAAGAACAAUGCAUCAUCUUUUCCUACUUAUAGUCACUUCUCCUACACAACAGGAGAGAAGACAAGUGAGAUGAAAUCCUGGUUUUAUCUGAAGUUUGUAGGAAAUCUUUUGAAGGUAGUGAGGCCUGAAUUUUACCCAAGUGUUAUGGCUGAACUGAAGUAACAUAAGUAAGUCAAUCGGUCUUCAUUUACCUCUUUGUCUAGAAUGUAGGUCUGUCAUUAAUGUCCUUGAAAACUAUGGCCAGAAGGAGGCAAAGAAAGAAGCCUAUUAGAGUUCACACAAUUCACCAGUGUUGUGGGUUCCAUCUGGUGAUGCUAACAGAGAAAGACAAACCGUAGAGAUAGGCCUUUCUCACCAAUAAUUUUCAUUCCUGAGCUUGAGAGAUUACUUUGUAUCUCUUUUUAGUCAUGCAGAAUUAGUUUCCUUAGUUUAAGACUUGUAGUUAUUUUCCCAAGCUGUGUUCAAUCUUUGCUGGCUUGUGUUAGUUACCAGAUAGAAAGUCUGGCUUGUUUUCUUUUGGCUUAUAUCAGUUUUGAACAAAUCUAAGCACUGAUUUCCACGGCGCCACUUUAAUUUACAAUAAUGAGAGUAUUUCUAAUACCAGAAGGUGCUUCUCUUGUAUGAAAUCAAUUUGGAACAAUAUAAAUCAAGUCAAAAUGGUUAUGCACAGCUGUUCCUGUGUUGACUUGAACCCCAAAUUUGUCCUCUAUUUUAAUCUAAGUUGGUUUUAAGAAUGGAUCAACGCUGAGACGCUAAGAAUCUAUUGUAAACUCUCUUCUUAUCUCCUGAUUCUUGCUAAACUGGCUUUCACUGGCAAUUUCUUUCUGUGCAUCUCUUGAUUAUUAGUACAUUAACCUUUUGCUUCUGCACUAUUAUAAAAUAGGCAGGAGUGAAAGCUAGGUUAUGUACUACAAAUAGUGUUUAUAACAGAUUUUCCACUGAAGAAGAAUGCGUAAUUACCACCUCUUCAGUUAAGUGUUGAAAGAUUGUUGCUCUCUGUUUGUAUGACAACAUUUUUCAGGAAAUUAUCAUUCACUCCAUUAGCUUUCUCAGUAUCUGUUCAGAGCCCUCUCACUGUGUGUUAUGCUAUCCUGUUUGCACUGCUACACUGAAAUAAAACAGCCAGUUAGGAUAAGGGCAAUAUUGAUUUUUUUUUUUUUUUGUAAGACAUUGAGGUGAGGAGCUUCUUGCCAUCUAAUUGCUCCCUUGAACAGCUAGGGUUGACCUAGCAGCCUCAAGCUACUUGGAAGUGCAUUUCUUAAAGAUCAUUACUGCAGUCAUAAAACCUGCACAUAUUUUUUAAAACAACAAAGAAAAGCAAGUACCAUGUUGAAUGGUACUGCACAUUCACAUCCAUAUAUGUGUACAGUAUAAAUGCUCAGAGUAUGAAGGCUGUAAGUGAAGGCAUCUGUAAUUUCUUAUGCCAAACUCCAUCUGUUUUCAGUAGUUUGUAACUCCACCAUUCUUUAAUAGUUUGCACAGAAAUUUCUCAUGCUGAAUUUCUGCCUCAGGCUGAAGACUUCUUUUGAAAAUUUGAACAAAAAUAGCUUAGCCACUUUUCAGGAAAGCAAAAAAAGCAUUUUUUCUCAAUAGCAGCUGUAACCCCUGUAUGACUGGGAAGGCUACACAACUCAGCAGCCCCAUCACGUGAGGGAAAUACAUACAACCUUUCCUGAUGCUAUUAAAGGGCAAAGAAGAGACUAGUAAAGAAUAAAACCUCCAUCCUAGCCGAUAAAGCUGCAUCUGGUUUUUCCUACAUGAAAAUAGUUCUUAUACUAGAAGCUUCACUAUUUCUCUCCUUUAGAACAGAAAUUAGAGUUUUGCUAAGGGAGCCAUUCUGGUUUCAGAAAGCUGCUUUUGAUGACCGCACUUUUUGCUGAAUCAUGAGCUUCUGAAAACUGGACAAACAUGUUUCAUUACACUUCAGCAGUGAACUUGUCCUAUUCUGUUUGUACGGAGUCAUACCUAGGGUAUGACUGCAUGGGUUGAGCCAGACUUACCACUCUUUCUUCUUCUCCAAAGGCAGGGUGCAUUGCAGACAAACAGAUUCAUGUGCUUUCAGUUGUCUUCCUCCUUCUCUCCCUAGGUUGGAAGCAGAUGGAUGAGGAGCCAGGCCUGAAAGGACAGUUAAAGAGGGGAUUCCUUUCUCACUCUCUGCGCAUCAUGAACCUGUGGGCGUGUGUCCGUGGGUCCCCCUGCCCCAUUCAUCAUGGAACCGGGCCGAACGCUCAUAAACCGUUGACACAUGCGUUACCAAUGUGUGUGUGGGAGCUGAUGGAGCGAGUGAAUAAGUAGCACAGGGCUAACAUGAGAAAAGACAAUGACCACUUCAAAAAGAGAGGGCUGGAAGAACCACUCAUCAAGAUCCUGUCUCUCCUGUUGAAGAGCAACCUAGGCACUGACUACUGCAACUCAGGGAAGUCACUGAUGUGUGUGUUAAUUGUCAACAUAGGGUAUCAGAUCAUUUGUGACUUAAUCUGUUUAGCUGUACUUGCAUCAAACACAUGCUCGUUAGCAGACAUUUCCAAUGUCCUUCCUCCUGUCUUUCAUGUUGCCUUGACUCCAUAAACCAACUUUAGUAGCAGCUCUCUUGAAGCAUUGAUACAAAAUGUCAGCUAAAUAUACUUUACUCCUUUGUAUUUAGUGUUUUAUUUUGUAUCUGGGAUGAGCUACAACUGUACAAAAAGUGAGUUACUCUGGUGGAUGGGGAGUAGCUUGGAGAAAUGGGGUAGUUCCCUCACAAUGCCAUGUACUCAUAUCCCAAAAAAUACCUAAGCCCACAGCUCAAGGACAGCCACAAAAUGUUGGCAGUUACCUUAAGAGCUAAGCAAAAUAUUUGACCCAAGAUUACCUGAAAUAAAUUGUGAUACGUUUUCAUGUUAAAAUGAUGUUUGCCUUUUUUCUUAAGUUAUAAACACCUUGUUUCUUUCCAAAUAUUUAUGUCUUGAUAAAUUGCAUUUUGCUAUCUACAAGACAUUGCACAGAAUAAUCUGGGAAGGGUCACAGACAGCACGAGCUGCUGAGAUAACAUCAUCAAGCAAAAUGCCAAAGAUCCCGAUGACGGGAUUAAUCUUACCCCUUAUAAUUCAGCGUUGUCCUUGUUCUGCUCAGGCUAAUUCCACGCAUCACAAAGGUCACUCAAAUUUACUAGAACUGUGAGGCAAUCUCACAAGCUCACGUUUGCCCUUAAUGAAUAAAAUUUAGCUUUACUCUGAUUGCGGAACUUGCAACGUGACUUCAGAAGGGACUGAGGCCAUUUGUGGGAGUUACACAGUCCCAAAAGAUGUAAAUACUUAUUGCCUUAUUCCUGAACAUUUGA